GACAGAGGUGCCGAGCGUUAGGCGGAAUCACUGGGCUUAAAGCGUGUGUAGGCGGGUCGUUAAGUGCCUUGUGAAAUCCCACAGCUCACCUGUGGAACUGCUGGGCAUACUGGCGAUCUUGAGCCACUUAGGGGCAACCGGAACAAACGGUGGAGCGGUGAAAUGCGUAGAUAUGCGGAGGAACACCGAUGGCGAAGGCAAUCCCCUGGACCUGUACUGACGCUCAUGCACGAAAGCGUGGGGAGCAAACAGG
rnacentral:rRNA from 1 species